GAGCUGGGUCCCUUGGAACUGGAGUUACUGGAGUUACAGAUAAAUGGGAGCUGUCAUGUGGGUGUUAGAAAUCUAAACCCAGGUUCUCUGCAAGAGCAGCCAGUGCUCUUAACCACUGAGGCAUUUCUACAAUCCCUAAAACUGAAUUGAAAAAAACAAAAACCCACAAAAAAAACCCCAAAAAUCAAAAACAAAAAAACAAAGUCAUUUAAAAGCUGUGUUUUUGGAGUCAUCCUUUCUCUGAAAGGUGAACAUAAGGAACCCGUAUCAGUGACACAGAGUAAGUUGCGGUAUAUUCUUUGUUAGCUCUCCUAAGGGUGUUCCUGUGAAGCAGAGUCGGCAAGCAGCUUUCACCCUUUUAAACUGUACGAAUGUUUUCUUUGGCUACAGAACCGUGUCACAUCUUUGCUUCAUAUCUUAGUCACCUUAAGCUACUGUCAGCCCCGGUAGCUCCUGUGUUGCUUAGACAGUGCGUUUCUGAUCGUUCACCGUUCUCGGAGGUCUCCGGAAGCUCUGUCAUCCCCCUGGUGGAUGCUGAGAUCCCCUGAGGUUGCUCAGAUGCAACUGGGACCAAGAGUCAGAAGUUUCCAGUUUUCCUUCACCUACAGAGUCAGAUUGCAGAGAAAGUGGGGCACAGGCAGAAGUGUGCCUUGAUCCUGUGAUACGAGGUGGCAGAUGCCUGGGACUCUAGCAGGUGGAUAACUGGUCACUACUGUCCCUAACCUUAACACUGAUGCACCCAGAGUAGCCUGCGUCACCACACCGGGACAGGCCGCUGCCCCCCUCUUUCUGCUGUUUUCACAAUCAGUUCUGAAACCUGAGAAAUCCCCACUCCUAAGUCCACACUCACUUAGAGGAGCCGUGUUCUUCUGCAAAUCCCUCAGCACUGUGAUCUGUGGUAAACACCUAACACGCGGUUUCUGCAUCUGGUCCUUGGGCAAUUUGAGUCAAAAUUCUUCGGUAAUAACUCAUUCUCACAAACCUUGUUGUCUGUCGAGAAGGAGCAGACUUUGUGGCUUCGGCAGCUGGGGAGGUAUUGAGCUAGUUUUAAAAUUAAGUAAACAAC
rnacentral:lncRNA from 1 species